GCCUAUAAACGUUUAAGCAACAGUUCUCGGACUGUUGCGCGUACAAGUACGUGCGGCUUGCCCACAAACGUGUGAAGGGCUCCUCAUUUUUUCUCCCCUUAAUUAACUAUCCAGUUUGAUGGAUUUUUGAGGAAAACCUAGCGUAGCUCUGUUGUAUCCACAACCAGAGGGCGAAAACGCUUUUAUCACGUUAUCACGUUAUCACGUAAGCAUUUAAAACAUUACUCAAGUAUAUCUAUACUGGGAAAAUGAACUUAACUUCUCAAAAAGCUCAACAGGAAAUUAUAGGUUACAAAAUAAUGGAAAGAAAACCAAACAAGGUUACAAAAUAAUGGAAAGAAAACAAAAUCUUAAUGAAGAAUAUUCAGAUGUAGUUUUCAUUGUGGAUGGUAAAAGAUUUCAUGCACACAAAUUUAUACUAGCUUCAAAGAGCGAAUACUUUAGUGUUUAAAAAAUAGAGCCCUUUUAUAUGGUGGAAUGAAAAAAUCUUUGCCAGAUUGUAAUGAACUAGAAUUAAAAGAUGCCCCAAAUCAAGCAUUUAAAACAUUACUCAAUCAAGGACAAACUUUUAAUCAUGUAGGCUUAUUCCUCCCUGAGCCCGUCUUUGCCCAUGGACAACUAUAUGUGGCUCUUACUUGAUGUAAAUCUCAAAAUAAUAUGAAAAUUAUGAUUUUGCCAUCAGAAUUACAAGGAAAAAUUUUAAAAAAUGAUAAAACAUUCACACAAAAUAUCGUAUAUAAUGAAAUCUUAAAUUCAUAAUUUGUAAGAAAUUUAAAAAAGUCACCAACUUUGUUAUUCACCAUCAAAUCACCAACUUUACAUCAUCUUCAAAAACGAAACCACCUUGAGCAAAGAAAAGAGAACUUCUUCACCAUCGCUAAACCAUAUUCCUCACCAACAACAGUUAUUUACGGCAAACUACGAGCAAGGAAAUUACAACAUCAUCUUUAAAAACGAAACCACAUUGAGCAAAGAAAAGAGAACUUCUUCACCAUGGCUAAACCAUCUUCCUCACCAACAACAAUAAAUUCUAUUUUAUAAUUUCAAUUUACACGUUUUUUUUUCAGGUUAUUUAUGGCAAACUACGAGCAAGGAAAUUACAACAUCAUCCUCAAAAGCGAAACCACAUUGAGCAAAGAAAAGAGAACUUCUUCACCAUCGCUAAACCAUCUUCCUCACCAACAACAGUUAUUUACGGCAAACUACGAGCAAGGAAAUUACAACAUCAUCUUCAAAAACGAAACCACAUUGAGCAAAGAAAAGAGAACUUAUAUUAUUCAUCAAUCAUUGAAUAAAAAAGACAAUUCAUCACUCUUAGUCUUAAUGGGUUGGAAUUUGCCUGAAGGAGGAGGGGAGGGGUAAAAAGAAUUAUCGUAAAAGAACGAAUAAAAUUCUCAUCCCCGUCAUCCCAUAGAAGAAAAAUCCAAGGAAAUGUUAUAUUGUAAAGAAGGCAAUAAAACAGACUUUCAUGGCAGCUAAAAUUAAAAAAUAAUACCUAUUUUAAAUUAUAAACACUAAAAGC